rnacentral:rRNA from 1 species
AGGAUGAACGCUGGCGGCGUGCCUAAUACAUGCAAGUCGAGCGGUAAGGCUACUUCGGUAGUACACGAGCGGCGGACGGCUGAGUAACACGUAGGAACGUACCCCAAAGUGAGGCAUAAGCACCAGAAAUGGUGUCUAAUACCGCAUAUGGUCUUCGGAUUAAAGCUUCGGCGCUUUGGGAACGGCCUGCGCAUGAUUAGCUUGUUGGUGAGGUAAUAGCUCACCAAGGCGACGAUCAUUAGCUGGUCUGAGAGGAUGACCAGCCAGACUGGGACUGAGAACGGCCCAGACUCCUACGGGAGGCAGCAGUAGGGAAUUUUCCACAAUGGGCGAAAGCCUGAUGGAGCAACGCCGCGUGCAGGAUGAAUGCCUUCGGGUUGUAAACUGCUUUUAUAUGUGACGAUUAUGACGGUAGCAUAUGAAUAAGGAUCGGCUAACUCCGUGCCAGCAGCCGC